GAUGAACGCUAGCUACAGGCUUAACACGUGCAAGUCGCGGGGCAGCAUGGGGGUUGCUUGCAAUCCCCGAUGGCGACCGGCGCACGGGUGAGUAACGCGUAUCCAACCUGCCCUUCACCACGGGAUAACCCGGCGAAAGUCGGACUAAUACCGUAUGUUGUCCAUUGACGGCAUCCGAUUUGGACGAAAGGUUUGGCGGUGAAGGAUGGGGAUGCGUCCGAUUAGCUGGACGGCGGGGUGACGGCCCACCGUGGCGACGAUCGGUAGGGGUUCUGAGAGGAAGGUCCCCCACACUGGAACUGAGACACGGUCCAGACUCCUACGGGAGGCAGCAGUGAGGAAUAUUGGUCAAUGGGCGUAAGCCUGAACCAGCCAAGUAGCGUGCAGGAUGACGGCCCUAUGGGUUGUAAACUGCUUUUAUGCGGGGAUAAAGUGGCCCACGUGUGGGUCUUUGCAGGUACCGCAUGAAUAAGGACCGGCUAAUUCCGUG
rnacentral:rRNA from 1 species